rnacentral:rRNA from 1 species
UACAGAGGGUGCAAGCGUUAAUCGGAUUUACUGGGCGUAAAGCGCGCGUAGGCGGCUAAUUAAGUCAAAUGUGAAAUCCCCGAGCUUAACUUGGGAAUUGCAUUCGAUACUGGUUAGCUAGAGUGUGGGAGAGGAUGGUAGAAUUCCAGGUGUAGCGGUGAAAUGCGUAGAGAUCUGGAGGAAUACCGAUGGCGAAGGCAGCCAUCUGGCCUAACACUGACGCUGAGGUGCGAAAGCGUGGGGAGCGAACAGG